rnacentral:rRNA from 1 species
UACGUAGGUUGCAAGCGUUAAUCGGAAUUACUGGGCGUAAAGCGUGCGCAGGCGGUUUUGUAAGUCUGACGUGAAAUCCCCGGGCUCAACCUGGGAAUUGCAUUGGAGACUGCAAGGCUAGAAUCUGGCAGAGGGGGGUAGAAUUCCACGUGUAGCAGUGAAAUGCGUAGAGAUGUGGAGGAACACCGAUGGCGAAGGCAGCCCCCUGGGUCAAGAUUGACGCUCAUGCACGAAAGCGUGGGGAGCAAACAGG